GCUUGAGCACGUAGGUGGGUUUGUAAGUCAGGUGUGAAAGCCUUCUGUUCAACGGGAGAAUUGCAUCCGAAACUACGAAUCUUGAGUGUAGGAGGGGAGAAUGGAACUUCUGGUGGAGCGGUGAAAUGCGUAGAUAUCAGAAGGAACGCCGGCGGCGAAAGCGAUUCUCUGGCCUAUUACUGACACUCAGUGUGCGAAAGCUAGGGGAGCAAACGGGAUUAGAUACCCCGGUAGUCCUAGCCGUAAACGAUGGGCACUAAGUAGAGGGGAUUACCGACGUUCUCUCUGCCGUAGCUAACGCAUUAAGUGCCCCGCCUGGGGAGUACGGCCGCAAGGCUAAAACUCAAAAGAAUUGACGGGGGCUCGCACAAGCGGUGGAGCAUGUGGCUUAAUUCGAUGCAACGCGAAGAACCUUACCGGGGCUUGACAUGGUAGAAGUAGGAACCCGAAAGGGUAACGAACGGUAUCCAGUCCGUGACUAUCACAGGUGUUGCAUGGCUGUCGUCAGCUCGUGUCGUGAGACGUUGGGUUAAGUCCCCUAACGAGCGAAACCCUUGUUUUUAGUUACCAGCGGGUUAUGCCGGGUACUCUAGAAAGACUGCCGUCGUCAAGACGGAGGAAGGUGGGGAUGACGUCAAGUCAUCAUGGCCCUUAUGCCCCGGGCUGCACACGUGCUACAAUGGUCGGUACAAACGGAAGCGAAGCCGAGAGGUGAAGCGAAUCCAAGC
rnacentral:rRNA from 1 species